GUGCUCACUUCAGCAGCACAUAUACUAAAACUGGAACCAUCCAGAGAAGAUUAGCCUCACCCCUCCUCGAGGAUGACAUGCAAAUUCAUGAGGCCUUUUUGGUUUAU